ACAACUUCUCCCUUAUUUCUAUAUUACAAUGGGAGUGAGAUGGCUACUAAUUAGGUGGAGUGGUGGCGGAUGCGCUCUGAGUAUUAGGCUUGGUGUCUUCUCUCCUCUUCUCUGUCCGGCCCAUGGUCCGUUGCAUGCGUCUGGCUUCUCCUUUUAUAGACGGGAGGAGCCUUCAGGCUUAAGGAAGCGCUGGACACCCGGUGUCUUCAAUUAUCCUUCUUUACUGUUGCCUGGACAGCUGGACGAUAACGCUGCCUUCAAUAAUUGUACUGGCUACAGUAGAACUCACUGUUGAUAUUACUGUUUA